rnacentral:pre_miRNA from 1 species
UUAAUUCAAAUUUUUAUGUAGCUGGAACGUUUGCUUACGUUUGCCGCUAGGGGCGCUGUUCGAACUGCAUACAAAUAUGAGUUA